CUUCCCAUUCCGAACAGAGAAGUUAAGCCCGAUUGCGCAGAUGGUACUGCAUCUUAAUGUGGGAGAGUAUGUCGCCGCCUUUU
rnacentral:rRNA from 1 species